CAGUAGCCGCGGUAAUACGAAGGGUGCAAGCGUUACUCGGAAUUACUGGGCGUAAAGCGUGCGUAGGUGGUGGUUUAAGUCCGUUGUGAAAGCCCUGGGCUCAACCUGGGAAUUGCAGUGGAUACUGGGUCACUAGAGUGUGGUAGAGGAUAGUGGAAUUUCCGGUGUAGCAGUGAAAUGCGUAGAGAUCGGAAGGAACAUCUGUGGCGAAGGCGACUAUCUGGACUGAUACUGACACUGAGGUGCGAAAGCGUGGGGAGCAAACAGGAUUAGAUACCCCCGUAGUCCCUGUCUCUUAUAC
rnacentral:rRNA from 1 species